AACGAACGCUGGCGGCAUGCCUAACACAUGCAAGUCGAACGAGACCUUCGGGUCUAGUGGCGCACGGGUGCGUAACGCGUGGGAAUCUGCCCUUGGGUUCGGAAUAACAGUUGGAAACGACUGCUAAUACCGGAUGAUGACGUAAGUCCAAAGAUUUAUCGCCCAAGGAUGAGCCCGCGUAGGAUUAGCUAGUUGGUGAGGUAAAGGCUCACCAAGGCGACGAUCCUUAGCUGGACUGAGAGGAUGAUCAGCCACACUGGGACUGAGACACGGCCCAGACUCCUACGGGAGGCAGCAAUGGGGAAUAUUGGACAAUGGGCGAAAGCCUGAUCCAGCAAUGCCGCGUGAGUGAUGAAGGCCUUAGGGUUGUAAAGCUCUUUUACCCGGGAUGAUAAUGACAGUACCGGGAGAAUAAGCUCCGGCUAACUCCGUG
rnacentral:rRNA from 1 species